rnacentral:rRNA from 1 species
CAAGGCUUGACAUAUACGAGAACGGGCCAGAAAUGGUCAACUCUUUGGACACGCGUAAACAGGUGGUGCAUGGUUGUCGUCAGCUCGUGUCGUGAGAUGUUGGGUUAAGUCCCGCAACGAGCGCAACCCUCGUUCUAUGUUGCCAGCACGUAAUGGUGGGAACUCAUGGGAUACUGCCGGGGUCAACUCGGAGGAAGGUGGGGAUGACGUCAAAUCAUCAUGCCCCUUAUGUCUUGGGCUUCACGCAUGCUACAAUGGCCGGUACAAAGGGCUGCAAUACCGCGAGGUGGAGCGAAUCCCAAAAAGCCGGUCCCAGUUCGGAUUGAGGUCUGCAACUCGACCUCAUGAAGUCGGAGUCGCUAGUAAUCGCAGAUCAGCAACGCUGCGGUGAAUACGUUCCC